AAAGUCGUAACAAGGUUUCCGUAGGUGAACCUGCGGAAGGAUCAUUAAAAAAACGGGGAGGCGUGUUCUUGUUUUUCUUGGAAUCAGAACACGUUUUCUUUUAGUAAUCAAACUCUUUAUUUUUUGUUUCGGAAUCCGGCUAUUGCAUGCUAGAUUCAAAAAUCUAAUCUAAACUUUCAACAAUGGAUCUCUUGGCUCUU
rnacentral:misc_RNA from 1 species